ACCAGCAUGUUUAAGCCAGCCAAACUGGUCAAAUUAAAAAGUCAUCUUCAAAUCCACUUCAACAAGGCAGUUGUCUGUGGAGUGUGACAUUCCAAUCAUACUGAGAUGGUCGACUCUUAUUCUUCUGGAGAACUUUGGAGUUUUCUCUGAAAGUGCAGAAACCCUACAAGAGGCCCUUCCAAUUGGAUAACAGGCUACGCUUGUGAGGUA